rnacentral:lncRNA from 10 species
AUAAGUGGAGGGCCAGAUUUGGCCCACAGGCUAGAGUUUACCAGCCUAUGGUCUAGUAGGAUAGAGGAUCAUGGGUCCCCAUGUUGUAGAAGAAAAAGCUAAGCCUUAAAGAGGUUAAGUAAGUGGCCCAUUAUCAUACAGUUAGGAAGCAGCAGAACAAGAAUUCAAAUGCAAAUUUGCCAAACUUCAUUAUCACUGCCAGAACUCAUGCCCUGUCCUGAUUCUUGCAAAAAAUCA